UAAAAAUGUUUGAGGGUUUCACCAGUCUUCCCCAGGGUCUCAAUUAAUUCUUUGAUAUUUGAAGUAUUCUCUUCUAAAGCAUCAAUAUAGUCAUCAUCCCUGUUGACUGUACCUUCAUUUGUUUGUUUAUAGAUCCUCGUUUGCCAGUUGCUUCGCUUUCAUUGACAUCAUGAAAUCUAACACCUUUUAUGAGAUUGGCAGUUUCACUUUGCAAUGGAAUUAAAUUGGGUCAUGCAGAAGGGGUUCAAGAGGAGACCUGAGGUGCAUUGCUGGUGAUGUGCAUGUUGCUCUGUCUCAAGUAGUCUAUUGCUUAAGAAAAAUUGACUUCCCAUAAGGAUAAAGAUCCUCAUUUGCCAGUUGCUUCACUCUGAUUCCUGGUGACCCUAUGAAUGAGUAAUGUACACAACGUCCUAUCCCAACAGCCCUGCUCCGCUCCUGUAGACUCAAUCAAUGCCUAUGGCUUCUUUUAUGAAGUCAAUCUCAUAUUUGUGUCCUCCUUUCCUGCUGCCUUCUAUGUUUUCCAGCUUGAUUGUCUUUUCCAAAGAACUCUGCCUUCUCAUGCGGUGCCCAUAGUAGGACAGCUUCAGUUUUGCCUCUGGUGAAGUUUCAGGCUUAAUUUGCUCUAGAAACCAAUAAACCACUGCGGCUGAUUUUCCAUCUAAGAACAGCAUCACAGCUCUGCAGGAGGUUCUGGACAAAGAUGUUGGGAAAGAGAACAGUAGAAAAUGAGAAAAGACUUUUAAAUAAUAAAAAGAAUUCUGGCUCUGUAAUGGCAGAAAUGCCAAGACAGUUGGGAAGCUGGUGAGAAAUUAAAUUCCUAAUGUUUGGGGGAUUAUUACCCUUUCCAGUGUGUGAGGCGCAGUUUGCAGGAUUGUUAUAUUUCACCCUGAGCACUUUUUUCUUGUGACAUGUUGAAUACAGCACAGCAUUACUAUUAAAUAUAUAUUAAAUAUCACUGUUGAUGUUUUAUCAGAAUAUUAUUUUUCUUUUAAACAUGCUAUUUCCAAAGGGUUUGGUGCACAGUUGAAGGGAUUUAAGAGCAGAAUGCAUCUCAGCUUUUGUAAUGGAAAUCAAUGGGAGAAUAAGAUUGAUUUGAUAGAAGGUCUCUGCACUUCAAACUUUGCUGACAGUGAGCAUUCCUUUAAGUGAGGGAUACCUACUCCACAAGUGCCCAAUGAUGAGUUUUUAUGUGUAUGAUAGAUCGGGUAAUUUGGAAGAUUAAUAAUGUCAGCAGCAGGGUUUUUUUUGC